rnacentral:rRNA from 1 species
GAUGAACGCUGGCGGCGUGCCUAAUACAUGCAAGUCGAGCGAACGGACGAGAAGCUUGCUUCUCUGAUGUUAGCGGCGGACGGGUGAGUGACACGUGGAUAACCUACUUAUAAUACUGGGGUAACUUCGGGAAACCGUAGCUGAUACCGGAUAAUAUUUUGAACCGCAUGGUUCAAAAGUGAAAGACGGUUUUGCUGUCACUUAUAGAUGGAUCCGCGCUGCAUUAGCUAGUUGGUAAGGUAACGGCUUACCAAGGCAACGAUGCAUAGCCGACCUGAGAGGAUGAUCGGCCACACUGGAACUGAGACACGGUCCAGACUCCUACGGGAGGCAGCAGUAGGGAAUCUUCCGCAAUGGGCGAAAGCCUGACGGAGCAACGCCGCGUGAGUGAUGAAGGUCUUCGGAUCGUAAAACUCUGUUAUUAGGAAAGAACAUAUGUGUAAGUAACUGUGCACGUCUUGACGGUACCUAAUCAGAAAGCAACGGCUAACUACGUG